rnacentral:rRNA from 1 species
GCGUUAUCCGGAAUGAUUGGGCGUAAAGGGUGCGUAGGCGGUACGGUAAGUCUGUAGUAAAAGGCGGCAGCUCAACUGUCGUAGGCUAUGGAAACUGUCGAACUAGAGUGCAGAAGAGGGCGAUGGAACUCCAUGUGUAGCGGUAAAAUGCGUAGAUAUAUGGAAGAACACCAGUGGCGAAGGCGGUCGCCUGGUCUGUAACUGACGCUGAAGCACGAAAGCGUGGGGAGCAAAUAGGAUUAGAUACCCUAGUAGUCCACGCCGUAAACGAUGAGAACUAAGUGUUGGGGGAAUAACUCAGUGCUGCAGUUAACGCAAUAAGUUCUCCGCCUGGGGAGUAUGCACGCAAGUGUGAAACUCAAAGGAAUUGACGGGGGCCCGCACAAGCGGUGGAGUAUGUGGUUUAAUUCGAAGCAACGCGAAGAACCUUACCAGGCCUUGACAUCCCCGGCGAAGACAUGGAGACAUGUCGGAGGUUAACCGGGAGACAGGUGGUGCAUGGUUGUCGUCAGCUCGUGUCGUGAGAUGUUGGGUUAAGUCCCGCAACGAGCGCAACCCUUGUGAUAUGUUACUAACAGUAAGAUGAGGACUCAUAUCAGACUGCCGGUGACAAACCGGAGGAAGGUGGGGAUGACGUCAAAUCAUCAUGCCCCUUAUGGCCUGGGCUACACACGUACUACAAUGGCGGCUACAAAGAGCGGCGAACCCGCGAGGGGGAGCGAAUCUCAUAAAGGUCGUCUCAGUUCGGAUUGAAGUCUGCAACCCGACUUCAUGAAGUUGGAAUCGCUAGUAAUCGCGAAUCAGCAUGUCGCGGUGAAUACGUUCUCGGGCCUUGUACACACCGCCCGUCAAACCAUGGGAGUUGGUAAUACCCGAAGCCGGUGGCAUAACCGCAAGGA